rnacentral:snoRNA from 1 species
GAGGAUGAUGAUAUGGUUUUGUCGCCCCAGUCUUAGGAUCCGGCCUCCGGACCCGUGCUGAUUGACUUGUUAUCGAAUCUGACUC